rnacentral:tmRNA from 1 species
GGGGGUGUUCUGGUUUCGACAGGGAUGUGUUUGAUACGGAUUGCAGCCGAGUGAUUACGUAAUAAUCAACUUAAAUUAAACGCAAAAACUAAAUUAGCUAACGUGUUCGGUGCAAACCGUGCCGUUGCUUUCGCUGCUUAAUAACCGACGAUAGGUUCGCAGCCUCCUUGGGACAGAGUGUUCUGCGCUGUUCCUUGUGAGCUUUAUUCAGUGGAACUUAAGGUAUUGGAAUUGUUUCGAUCCAAUGCACGAAAAUUUAGAAACACAUUCGGCAGAUGUUUGCUCAUGCACAAACUGCCGGAUUAUUCAGCCAUGAGAUAAGCUGUAGAGAUCCGUAUGUGGAACCGUUUCUGGACAGGGGUUCGAUUCCCCUCACCUCCACCA